rnacentral:rRNA from 1 species
GACAGAGGGUGCAAACGUUGCUCGGAAUCACUGGGCGUAAAGGGCGUGUAGGCGGGAAGGAAAGUCAGAUGUGAAAGCCCUGGGCUCAACCCAGGAACUGCAUUUGAAACUCCCUUUCUUGAGUGUCGGAGAGGAGAGCGGAAUUCCUGGUGUAGAGGUGAAAUUCGUAGAUAUCAGGAGGAACACCGGUGGCGAAGGCGGCUUUCUGGACGACAACUGACGCUGAGACGCGAAAGCGUGGGGAGCAAACAGG